GGGUGAGUAAUGCUUGGGAAUCUACCUAGUAGUGGGGGAUAACGUGUGGAAACGCACGCUAAUACCGCAUACGUCCUACGGGACAAAGCAGGGGACCUUCGGGCCUUGCGCUAUUGGAUGAGCCUAUGUCGGAUUAGCUUGUUGGUGGGGUAAAAGCCUACCAAGGCAACGAUCCGUAGCUGGUCUGAGAGGAUGAUCAGCCACACUGGGACUGAGACACGGCCCAGACUCC
rnacentral:rRNA from 1 species